CAAAUUUUGAAGUUAUUUGUGACAAGAAAUUUUUUUAAACGGCUGCAAUUAAUAAUUGUGCUAAGGUAGCGUAAUCAUUUGCCCCCUAAUUAGGGGAAGGUAUGAAUGGUCUGACGUGGGAAAAACUGUCUCUUCUGCAUAUGAAGAAGUUUAUUUUUGAGUGAAAAAGCUUAGAUGGUUUUAAAAGACGAGAAGACCCUAUCGAACUUGAAUUAGGUAUUUAAAUUUUUUAAGUAUUGAAAGUUUAGUUGGGGAAACUUAAAGUAAAAAAAAACGCUUUAUUUUUUUGUAAAGAUCCUGUAUUAUGGAAAAACGAAAAAGUUACCGUAGGGAUAACAGCGCUUUCUUCUCUGAGAGGACUAAUUAAAGAGUUGGUUGCGACCUCGAUGUUGGAUUAAAAUUUCUUUUUGGGGUAGG
rnacentral:rRNA from 1 species